rnacentral:rRNA from 1 species
GACAGGGGGGGCAGGCGUUAUUCUUCAUUAAUUAGCGUAAAGGGUCACGUCGACUCCUUUUUUAAUUUUUUGUAAAAAACUAAUGAUAUGAUUAGGAAGCAAAUUUAAAAUCAAAGGUUGAGUUAACUCGAAGUUAUUGAAAUUUUUAGUGUAACGGUGAAGUGUGCGCAAUCUAAAAGGAAUUCCAUAGGCGAAGGCUUUUAACUAGUUUUAACUGACGUUGAGGUACUAAGGUAUGGGGAGCAAAUGGG